rnacentral:rRNA from 1 species
AUUGAACGCUGGCGGCAUGCCUUACACAUGCAAGUCGAACGGCAGCACGGGGGCAACCCUGGUGGCGAGUGGCGAACGGGUGAGUAAUACAUCGGAACGUGUCCUGUAGUGGGGGAUAGCCCGGCGAAAGCCGGAUUAAUACCGCAUACGAUCUACGGAAGAAAGCGGGGGAUCGCAAGACCUCGCGCUAGAGGGGCGGCCGAUGGCAGAUUAGCUAGUUGGUGGGGUAAAGGCCCACCAAGGCGACGAUCUGUAGCUGGUCUGAGAGGACGACCAGCCACACUGGGACUGAGACACGGCCCAGACUCCUACGGGAGGCAGCAGUGGGGAAUUUUGGACAAUGGGGGCAACCCUGAUCCAGCAAUGCCGCGUGUGUGAAGAAGGCCUUCGGGUUGUAAAGCACUUUUGUCCGGAAAGAAAACCAUCGCCCUAAUAUGGUGGUGGGAUGACGGUACCGGAAGAAUAAGCACCGGCUAACUACGUGCCAGCCGCCGCCGUAACAC